UACGGAGGGUGCGAGCGUUAUCCGGAAUCACUGGGCGUAAAGGGCGCGUAGGCGGUCUGUUAAGUCUGGCGUUAAGGCCUGGGGCUCAACCCCAGAUCAGCGUUGGAUACUGGCAGGCUAGACGGUUGGAGAGGCGAGUGGAAUUACCAGUGUAGCGGUGGAAUGCGUAGAUACUGGUAGGAACACCCACUUGCGAAGGCAGCUCACAAAGCCAAGAUUGACGCUGAGGCACGAAAGUGUGGGGAGUCAAACAGGAUUAGAUACCCG
rnacentral:rRNA from 1 species